GAUUUGAUUAUUAAAGUUCCAACGGUAAAGAUGAGUAUGCGUCCCAUUAGCUAGAUGGUAAGGUAACGGCUUACCAUGGCAAUGAUGGGUAGGGGUCCUGAGAGGGAGAUCCCCCACACUGGUACUGAGACACGGACCAGACUCCUACGGGAGGCAGCAGUGAGGAAUAUUGGACAAUGGGCGCAAGCCUGAUCCAGCCAUGCCGCGUGCAGGAUGACGGUCCUAUGGAUUGUAAACUGCUUUUGUACAGGAAGAAACACUACUUCGUGAAGUAGCUUGACGGUACUGUAAGAAUAAGGAUCGGCUAACUCCGUG
rnacentral:rRNA from 1 species